UCCAGGCCCUACGGGGUGCAGCAGGCGCGAAACCUCCGCAAUGUGAGAAAUCGCGACGGGGGGAUCCCAAGUGCCAUUCUUAACGGGAUGGCUUUUCAUUAGUGUAAAGAGCUUUUGGAAUAAGAGCUGGGCAAGACCGGUGCCAGCCGCCGCGGUAACACCGGCAGCUCUAGUGGUAGCAGUUUUUAUUGGGCCUAAAGCGUCCGUAGCCGGUUUAAUAAGUCUCUGGUGAAAUCCUGCAGCUUAACUGUGGGAAUUGCUGGAGAUACUAUUAGACUUGAGAUCGGGAGAGGUUAGAGGUACUCCCAGGGUAGAGGUGAAAUUCUGUAAUCCUGGGAGGACCGCCUGUUGCGAAGGCGUCUGACUGGAACGAUUCUGACGGUGAGGGACGAAAGCUAGGGGCGCGAACCGGAUUAGAUACCCGGGUAGUCCUAGCUGUAAACGAUGCGGACUUGGUGUUGGGGUGGCUUUGAGCUGUCCCAGUGCCGAAGGGAAGCUGUUAAGUCCGCCGCCUGGGAAGUACGGUCGCAAGACUGAAACUUAAAGGAAUUGGCGGGGGAGUACCACAACGCGUGGAGCCUGCGGUUUAAUUGGAUUCAACGCCGGG
rnacentral:rRNA from 1 species